CUACGUGCCAGCAGCCGCGGUAAUACGUAGGUGGCAAGCGUUGUCCGGAAUUAUUGGGCGUAAAGCGCGCGCAGGCGGAUUGGUCAGUCUGUCUUAAAAGUUCGGGGCUUAACUCCGUGAUGGGAUGGAAACUGCCAAUCUAGAGUAUCGGAGAGGAAAGUGGAAUUCCUAGUGUAGCGGUGAAAUGCGUAGAUAUUAGGAAGAACACCAGUGGCGAAGGCGACUUUCUGGACGAAAACUGACGCUGAGGCGCGAAAGCCAGGGGAGCGAACGGGAUUAGAUACCCCGGUAGUCCUGGCCGUAAACGAUGGGUACUAGGUGUAGGAGGUAUCGACCCCUUCUGUGCCGGAGUUAACGCAAUAAGUACCCCGCCUGGGGAGUACGACCGCAAGGUUGAAACUCAAAGGAAUUGACGGGGGCCCGCACAAGCGGUGGAGUAUGUGGUUUAAUUCGACGCAACGCGAAGAACCUUACCAGGUCUUGACAU
rnacentral:rRNA from 1 species